rnacentral:lncRNA from 1 species
GAAAGUUCUGAUCAAAAUACACAAAGACACAAGCCAGGUCCCCACCGCGCUUGGCGAUGCAUCCAUAGCAGCCUUGGUGCUGUGGACACUCCCUGGGGCCCAGCGAAGGGGAGAGUUUGCUCCCAAAGGCGCACCAAUGACCAACAUUUGCCCCCCGGAGGAAAGAACUGGAACCAGGUGUCUGUGAUAGGGCCCCUGACUUCCUCUCCCCGUCUGAAGACCAGGUGCUGAGGCCUGCCUUGGGCAGCUCAGUGGCUCUGAACUGCACGGCUUGGGUAGUCUCUGGGCCCCACUGCUCCCUGCCUUCAGUCCAGUGGCUGAAAGACGGGCUUCCAUUGGGAAUUGGGGGCCACUACAGCCUCCACGAGUACUCCUGGGUCAAGGCCAACCUGUCAGAGGUGCUUGUGUCCAGUGUCCUGGGGGUCAACGUGACCAGCACUGAAGUCUAUGGGGCCUUCACCUGCUCCAUCCAGAACAUCAGCUUCUCCUCCUUCACUCUUCAGAGAGCUGGCCCUACAAGCCACGUGGCUGCGGUGCUGGCCUCCCUCCUGGUCCUGCUGGCCCUGCUGCU